rnacentral:rRNA from 1 species
UGUGACUGCGUACCUUUUGUAUAAUGGGUCAGCGACUUAUAUUCAGUGGCAAGGUUAACCAUCUAGGGGAGCCGUAGGGAAACCGAGUCUUAACUGGGCGUUCAGUCUCUGGAUAUAGACCCGAAACCAGGUGAUCUAGCCAUGGGCAGGUUGAAGGUUGAGUAACAUCAACUGGAGGACCGAACCGACUAAUGUUGAAAAAUUAGCGGAUGACUUGUGGCUAGGGGUGAAAGGCCAAUCAAACCUGGAGAUAGCUGGUUCUCCCCGAAAGCUAUUUAGGUAGCGCCUCGGACGAAUACUACUGGGGGUAGAGCACUGUUAAGGCUAGGGGGUCAUCCCGACUUACCAACCCUUUGCAAACUCCGAAUACCAGUAAGUACUAUCCGGGAGACACACGGCGGGUGCUAACGUCCGUCGUGGAGAGGGAAACAACCCAGACCGCCAGCUAAGGUCCCAAAUUACUACUAAGUGGGAAACGAUGUGGGAAGGCUCAGACAGCCAGGAUGUUGGCUUAGAAGCAGCCAUCAUUUAAAGAAAGCGUAAUAGCUCACUGGUCGAGUCGGCCUGCGCGGAAGAUGUAACGGGGCUAAGUAGUAAACCGAAGCUGCGGCAAUAUACUUUUGUAUAUUGGGUAGGGGAGCGUUCUGUAAGCGGUUGAAGGUGUGUGGUAACGCAUGCUGGACGUAUCAGAAGUGCGAAUGCUGACAUGAGUAACGAUAAAGGGGGUGAAAAACCUCCUCGCCGGAAGACCAAGGGUUCCUGUCCAACGUUAAUCGGGGCAGGGUAAGUCGACCCCUAAGGCGAGGCCGAAAGGCGUAGUCGAUGGGAAACGGGUUAAUAUUCCCGUACUUCUUACAAUUGCGAUGGGGGGACGGAGAAGGCUAGGUGGGCCUGGCGACGGUUGUCCAGGUUCAAGUGCGUAGGCUUAAGAGUUAGGUAAAUCCGGCUCUUUUUAAGGCUGAGACACGACGUCGAGCACCUACGGGUGUGAAGUCAUUGAUGCCAUGCUUCCAGGAAAAGCCUCUAAGCUUCAGAUUGUAAGGAAUCGUACCCCAAACCGACACAGGUGGUCGGGUAGAGAAUACCAAGGCGCUUGAGAGAACUCGGGUGAAGGAACUAGGCAAAAUGGUACCGUAACUUCGGGAGAAGGUACGCUCUUGAUGGUGAAGUCCCUUGCGGAUGGAGCUGACGAGAGUCGCAGAUACCAGGUGGCUGCAACUGUUUAUUAAAAACACAGCACUGUGCAAAAUCGUAAGAUGACGUAUACGGUGUGACGCCUGCCCGGUGCCGGAAGGUUAAUUGAUGGGGUUAGACUUCGGUCGAAGCUCUUGAUCGAAGCCCCGGUAAACGGCGGCCGUAACUAUAACGGUCCUAAGGUAGCGAAAUUCCUUGUCGGGUAAGUUCCGACCUGCACGAAUGGCGUAAUGAUGGCCACGCUGUCUCCACCCGAGACUCAGUGAAAUUGAAAUCGCUGUGAAGAUGCAGUGUACCCGCGGCUAGACGGAAAGACCCCGUGAACCUUUACUACAGCUUGGCACUGAACAUUGACCCUACAUGUGUAGGAUAGGUGGGAGGCUUUGAAGCACGUACGCCAGUAUGUGUGGAGCCGUCCUUGAAAUACCACCCUUGUAGUGUUGAUGUUCUAACGUCGACCCCUAAUCGGGGUUGCGGACAGUGCCUGGUGGGUAGUUUGACUGGGGCGGUCUCCUCCCAAAGAGUAACGGAGGAGCACGAAGGUGGGCUAAUCACGGUUGGACAUCGUGAGGUUAGUGCAAUGGCAUAAGCCCGCUUGACUGCGAGAAUGACAAUUCGAGCAGGUGCGAAAGCAGGUCAUAGUGAUCCGGUGGUUCUGAAUGGAAGGGCCAUCGCUCAACGGAUAAAAGGUACUCCGGGGAUAACAGGCUGAUACCGCCCAAGAGUUCAUAUCGACGGCGGUGUUUGGCACCUCGAUGUCGGCUCAUCACAUCCUGGGGCUGAAGUCGGUCCCAAGGGUAUGGCUGUUCGCCAUUUAAAGUGGUACGCGAGCUGGGUUUAGAACGUCGUGAGACAGUUCGGUCCCUAUCUGCCGUGGGCGUUGGAAGAUUGAAGGGGGCUGCUCCUAGUACGAGAGGACCGGAGUGGACGAACCUCUGGUGUUCGGGUUGUGUCGCCAGACGCAUUGCCCGGUAGCUAAGUUCGGAAUCGAUAACCGCUGAAAGCAUCUAAGCGGGAAGCGAGCCCUGAGAUGAGUCUUCCCUGAUACUUUAAGUAUCCUAAAGGGUUGUCGGAGACUACGACGUUGAUAGGUCAGGUGUGUAAGUGCUGUGAGGCAUUGAGCUAACUGAUACUAAUUGCCCGUGAGGCUUAACCAUACAACACCCAAGGGGUUU